GGCUGCGUAGCUCAGGGGCUAGAGCAAUCGGUUCAUACCCGGUGGGUCGUAGGUUCAAAUCCUACUGCAGCCACCA
rnacentral:tRNA from 1 species